ensembl:lncRNA
UCCUUUCAUUUUACAAUUACAUUCAGUUCGCAAUCUGUCCCUUUGCGCCACCUGGCGGUAGUUUCGCGAAUGAUUUUAACACGCGACUGAAUUGCAGUUAAUGCCGCGGCCCUGCGGCGGCGGUACGCGCGGCGGUAUUACCCAUUUUGGUUGUCUACCUACUGUAAUGGAAAAACUUUUUUAUAGGCAAAGAAAAGAAAAAGAAGAAGAAGAAGGACACUAGUAGUGAGAGUGAUGAGUUAAACUCUUCAUCAUCUUCUUCCCUCCCUUCAUCUUCAUCGGAAGAUGAAAGAUGCAGCAAAAAAAAAUCAAAAAAGAAGAGAACCCAAAAGAAACGGUCAAGAUCUGCAUUCUCUAGUUCUGCAGUAAGAGGUAAGGCAGUGGUGAGGACAGUGGUUCUCAAUCCGUGCCAUCGUGCCCCCAGCCCGCUCUGCACAUUAUGGAUGUUUCUUAUUUAACACAUCUGAUUCAGAUCAUCAGCAC